rnacentral:rRNA from 1 species
AUUGAACGCUGGCGGCAGGCUUAACACAUGCAAGUCGAACGGAGAGAAAGUGCUUGCGCUUUCUCUUAGUGGCGGACGGGUGAGUAACGCGUGGGUAACCUGCCCUAUGCAGGGGGAUAACAACGAGAAAUCGUUGCUAAUACCGCAUAAUAAAGAAGGGCUGCAUGGCUUUUCUUUCAAAGAUUUAUCGGCAUAGGAUGGACCCGCGUUGGAUUAGCUAGUUGGUGAGAUAACAGCCCACCAAGGCGACGAUCCAUAGCCGGCCUGAGAGGGUGAACGGCCACACUGGGACUGAGACACGGCCCAGACUCCUACGGGAGGCAGCAGUGGGGAAUAUUGCACAAUGGGCGCAAGCCUGAUGCAGCGACGCCGCGUGAAGGAUGAAGGUCUUCGGAUUGUAAACUUCUAUCAGCAGGGAAGAAGGAGUGUCUUCGGACACUCUUGACGGUACCUGACUAAGAAGCACUGGCUAACUACGUGCCAGCCGCCGCAGUAA